AGGGGAUUCGCCAAGCGGUAAGGCAUGAGGUUUUGGCCCUCAUAUCGCAGGUUCGAUUCCUGCAUCCCCUG
rnacentral:tRNA from 1 species